rnacentral:misc_RNA from 1 species
ACCUGUUGAAACUUGCUAAUGAUGUUGCUUACUAAGCAGAGUCCUAUGCAAAUUCUGCUGAACCCUAUGCUUAACCCCAAGCACAGCCCAAAUUACCAGCUGUCUGCUCCACAUUUUAAAAAGCCAAAAACUUCCGCCAUUUUUAUGAAAACCCUCAUCCAAACUCCCGAUAAGCCAUAACUCUCAUUCUGCUAACUUCCUUCCCG